GACGGAGGGUGCAAGCGUUGCUCGGAAUCACUGGGCGUAAAGGGUGCGUAGGCGGUCCGGUAAGUCAGCUGUGAAAGUCAAGGGCUCAACCCUUGAAUGCCGGUUGAUACUGUCGGGCUAGAGUCCGGAAGAGGCGAGUGGAACUGCGAGUGUAGAGGUGAAAUUCGUAGAUAUUCGCAAGAACACCAGUGGCGAAGGCGGCUCACUGGCCCGGUACUGACGCUGAGGCACGAAAGCGUGGGGAGCAAACAGG
rnacentral:rRNA from 1 species